UGAGGGUUUUAGACAUCUUUAGACAGACCUCCUAGCUAAUUUUGUAUCAGCGCUGGUGUGAUUAGAACACAUUGGUAUCUGAUGUCGGUGUUUAUUGUGUGUUUUAUGUGCAAACUGAGAGCAGAGCGUAUCAAGAGGGGCUCUUACGAAAGGAUAAAGGUUCUUUUGCGCUGUGUGAGGGCUGUAAGCUGGAACAGACAGCGGCUCUCUGAAGGUGGUUCUCAUGUAGGGAGUGUGUUCUUGUGGUGGCAGAGAACGAACGUCGUCGCCAUUAUCCACACAGCACCAUCUUAGCAGCUGGGGAAACACAAAGUCAGACAGGACAAGAAGAAAUGAAUAACAGUUAUACCACAAAUGUAAACUAAUCAAAGAAGCUAGGUUUAAACUCUCUGAAUGUCAUCUCUGGAGCUGUUUUCAUAUCCAUCUUCAUAUCAGUGAAAGUUGUGAAGUUGUGCUAGUUGUAGGGAUUUGGGAUUUGCUUUCUAAUUAUAAAACUAUUUCAUAACUAAGGUCUUGCUGUGGUUGUGCACGUGCAGUGACUGAAAUGACUAUAAAGGAAUUCCUACCAGGAUGAUGAUUAUGAUGAUGAGGAGCAGGAUGGCGAUGGCAGCCAGCACGAGUAAAGCGAUCGCCCAGCCAGGGACUCCUUCACCCUGGUUAGAUGAUGGGCUGCUGUUCGUGAGAACAUGUUCUGUUCUGCUAUCUUUGUUGUUGGUGGAGGAAGGGUUUGUAACUCCAGUGUGGGUCUCAGGGCUGCUUACUGAAUGACUGCUUGUUGUGUUGGAAGAGGACUUAUUGCUGGUGCUGGAGGAAAUGUGUUCUGGAUGCAUUGUUGGGUGGGGAAUUGGAGGCCUGGAGGUUUCUUUGCUAGUUGCUGUGGUUGUUUUCUGUUUUGUGGUGGUUGUGUUUGGUGUGGUAGUUGUGGUGGUGGUUUUUGUUGGUGUGGCUGGUGUUGUGGUUGUUGUCGGUGGUGUUGUGGUGGUUGUUGGUCUUGUGGUUGUGGUAAUGGUUGUUGUUGUCAGUGUUGUGGUGGUUGUUGGUCUUGUGGUUGUGGUAGUGACUGUUGUUGUUGGUGUUGUGGUGGUUGUUGUGAUUGUUGUUGUUGGUGUUGUGGUGGUUGUUGGUAUUGUGGUGGUUGUUGUUGGUCUUGUGGUUGUUGUAGUGGUAGUGGUUGUUGUCAGUGUUGUGGUGGUUAUUGUUGUGGUGGGAGAUGUGGUAGUAGUUGUUGUUGUCAGUGUUGUCUUGGUUGUUGGUGUUGUGGUUGUUACAUAAGAGUCUGUAGAGAGAUCAGUGUUAGUAUUUCACAUUGUGAUUUCACAGACAUUUGUAUUAAGUACAUUGUGUGUGUGUGUGUGUGUGUGUGUGUGUGUGUGUGUAUGUGUAUGUGUAUGUGUGUGUGUGUGUGUGUGUGUGUGUGUUUUGUGCAUGCUUACCCUGUACGGUAUCAGGGUUGAUUUGAAGGCCAUUAAUUUCAUUAUUGCUGUUGAGGCCAUCCAGAAAAAUGAAUUUGAGCAAAAUGGGAUUGGUCAGAGUACCUUUGAACGCAAUGGUGGUGUCUGCAAUCACUGAUCCCUUUCUGUAAUAAUAAAUAAUAAUAUGAGGUGAUUAUCGUAAUCUGUUAGCUAACUGCUUUUACUGCACUUAGUACUGAAGUAUUGUACCUGAAACUCAUGGAUGUCACACCAUGAUAAGCUGCACUAUUGGGACAGCUGGAGCAGCCAAAGACAGAGUAGAACUUAAAAAUAAACAAAUCAAGGUUAAAUGUAGCAGCUUAGAGUACCAUAUGUAUUUGCAUGCCUGAUAUAUUUGAUGGUUAGAAUUUAUAACCCCAAUACUUUGUGAACUUAAUUUAUUUUUUAAAAUAUACACUCAUUUCAAAU
ensembl:lncRNA